rnacentral:rRNA from 1 species
AUGGCGUCGACCAUCGUCGCGCAGGCCGUGUCCGGGUCGCACGUCCUCACGGUUGACGGCUACUCCCGCACCAAGGGGCUCGACACCGGCAAGUUCAUCAAGUCUGGAACGUUCGACGUCGGCGGCCAUCGCAGGUGUAUCCUGUACUACCCCGACGGUAGAAGCUCAGAUGACGCCGAUUUCAUAUCCAUUAAUCUACGUCUCGAUCACACCGAUGCCGACGAGGUCAAGGCACAGUUCAAGAUUAGUUUGGUCGAUCAGCACGGGGAAUCAAGGACAUCAUACAGCAACGAAAGCCAGGUAUGCGCCUUUAGAGUAACAGAAGGACCAUGGGGCUUCGGCGUAAUCAAACGCAAGGACUUGGAGGGGUCUGUGUACUUGAGGGAUGAUGUCUUGAGCAUCAGGUGCGAUGUAACGGUGUCAAAGGAGAUCAUCACCGAGCUCACCGCUCCGGCGGUCCUGGUGCCACCGUCAGACAUGCACCACCAUCUCGCCCGGCUCCUCUCCGCCGGCGAGGGCUCGGACGUCACCUUCGAGGUCGGCGGCGAGACGUUUCCCGCGCACAGGUACAAGCUCGCCGCCCGGUCCUCCGUCUUCAGGGCGGAGCUCCUUGGACCGAUGAAGGAAAAGACCGCAACUCGCAUACAAAUCAACAACAUGGAUGCCAAAGUGUUCAGAGCCUUGCUCCACUUCAUCUACACCGACUCAUUUCCAGAGAUGGACGAGGGUGACGCGACGGUGAUGGCUCAGCAUCAGCUCGUGGCGGCGGACAGGUAUGACAUGGAGCGACUCAAGCUGAUCUACGAGGAGAGGCACUGCAGCCGCCUCUGCAGAAGCAUGGUGGCGACAACGUUGGGAUUGGCCGAGCAGCAUGGUUGUGGUGCGCUCAAGAAGGCUUGUUUCGGGUUCCUCACUUCUCCGGGGAACCUGAAGGCGGUCAUGGCGAGCGAGGGCUUUCAGCAUCUGAGGAGCAGCUGCCCCUCUGUUCUCGAGGAGUUUGUUGGCGUCCUGGAAACGGGGGUCCCCAAACUUGCCUGCCUGCGGCCCACGGCAUGGCUGAGCUAG